rnacentral:rRNA from 1 species
CACGUAGGCACCAAGCGUUGUCCGGAUUUAUUGGGCGUAAAGAGCUCGUAGGCGGUUGAGUAAGUCGGGUGUGAAGACUCUGGGCUUAACCCAGAGCCGCCACCCGAUACUGCUCUGACUUGAGUUCGGUAGGGGAGCAGGGAAUUCCUAGUGUAGCGGUGAAAUGCGCAGAUAUUAGGAGGAACACCGGUGGCGAAGGCGCUGCUCUGGGCCGAUACUGACGCUGAGGAGCGAAAGCGUGGGUAGCAAACAGG